rnacentral:tRNA from 1 species
GGAUUGUGGCUCAGUGGUAGAGUGCUUGAAUAGCACAAGGGAGGCCUGGGUUCGAUCCUCAGUACCA